AUCCUUACACAAUAUUUUCGAUAUGUUCUUAUACUGAAAAUAUUUAUGACUAUUGAAGGUACAACCCAAGGUGGUUAUCGGUGGUCGUUGGAGGUGGUCGGAGGUGGACGAGGAGGAGGACGAGGAAGACUAGGAGAAGAAGGUGGCUGAGGAUUUGUGCUCGGUAUAACCCGAGGUGGUUGGCGGUGGUUGGCGGUGGUCGAGCUGGACGGGGUGGAGGACAAGGAUUCGUGCUUGUUCUGUGCCCCACCUAGUGAUCCACUAGUACAU
rnacentral:lncRNA from 1 species